rnacentral:rRNA from 1 species
UACGAAGGGGGCUAGCGUUGCUCGGAAUUACUGGGCGUAAAGGGAGCGUAGGCGGAUCGUUUAGUCAGAGGUGAAAGCCCAGGGCUCAACCUUGGAAUUGCCUUUGAUACUGGCUAUCUUGAGUACGGAAGAGGUAUGUGGAACUCCGAGUGUAGAGGUGAAAUUCGUAGAUAUUCGGAAGAACACCAGUGGCGAAGGCGACAUACUGGUCCGUUACUGACGCUGAGGCUCGAAAGCGUGGGGAGCAAACAGG